UGAAGGAAAAGGCUAAUUUGCUGAUCCUUUCCAUGAAUGAGGUCUUGUACCCCUCAUGAUUCAAGCCGAAGCAUAAAUUAGCUCUUUUUAAAGCUUAUUCACUACAGUAGAUCAUCUACCUUGGUCCAGGAGGGAGACAGUCAACUGUGUUAGCACCAAGUCCGAGGUAGAUAGUCAGACAUCCUUUUCUUUGUUUUUUCUAAACCAAAAUAUUAUAGUAAAAUAUCGAGAAACGAUACAAAAGCUAAAAAGUAAAAUCUGAUCAUGCUAUAAAAGAUUGCAGGAAGAAAACAUCUACAGAAACUAGAACAUCACUGGUACAAAAGAUCUAACUGCACCAACAAACCAACUAAACAUGUAUUCAGAAUGCAGCCACCCCGAAGUCUUCCGUAUCUCUUGUAAUUUCAGGAAGUUGUGCUGAUGAGCGAAAAGAAAAAAUAAUGGACCAGGAAGAUGCGGUCCAAAAGGAAUAUUUGAAAAAAAAAAAA